GAUGAAUGCUGGCGGCGUGCUUAACACAUGCAAGUCGAGCGGUAAGGCCCUUCGGGGUACACGAGCGGCGGACGGCUGAGUAACGCGUGGGAACAUGCCCUAAAGUGAGGAAUAACUGCCCGAAAGGGUGGCUAAUGCCGCAUAUGAUCUUCGGAUUAAAGGAUUUAUCCGCUUUAGGAGUGGCCUGCGUACGAUUAGCUUGUUGGUGAGGUAAUGGCUUACCAAGGCGACGAUCGUUAGCUGGUCUGAGAGGAUGACCAGCCAGACUGGAACUGAGACACGGUCCAGACUCCUACGGGAGGCAGCAGUGAGGAAUCUUCCACAAUGGGCGAAAGCCUGAUGGAGCAACGCCGCGUGCAGGAUGGAGGCCCUCGGGUCGUAAACUGCUUUUAUGAGUGAAGAAUAUGACGGUAACUCAUGAAUAAGCACCGGCUAACUACGUGCCAGCCGCCGCGGUA
rnacentral:rRNA from 1 species